rnacentral:tRNA from 1 species
GGUGGGGUUCCCGAGCGGUCAAAGGGAGCAGACUGUAAAUCUGCCGGCGAUGCCUUCGGAGGUUCGAAUCCUCCCCCCACCACCA